GUGCUGGCAGGCCCCAAGGAAGGAAGGAAGGAGCAGGCAGAGUAGCCAGCGCUAACCCUAACCCUUACCCACCACAGUUCUCUUCGGACCCUCUGCCCAGCCCUGCCCAGCCCAGCCCAGCCUUUGCCAGGAAUGGAGCUCAUUUGUCUGACUGUCCCCAAGGAAAGGAAAAUAGGAGGCCAUGAGUUGGAGCAUUCUCCCAUGUGAGGCUACCUGGUUGUGACAGUACAUAUCCUUAUGAAGAGGUCCACCUGUGGUCGCCACCAGCUUGGAAUGGAGACUCAGAGUUGGGCCUUUCCCAUAGCCACCUCGAGACUCUGGAAUGAACCCUGUUGUAAGAGCUCCAUCAUCUCUAGCAGCUUUUAAAAGAGCUUUCAAGAUGCACUUAUUUAACCAAGCCUUGACCAGCUGUAAGGUGGUUUUUACUGUUGUUGUUUUUAAAUUGCCUUUUUCACUGAUUUGUUUGGUUUUAACUGUGGAUUUUUUGUUUUUGUUUUUCUGUAAACUACCAAGAGACACUUGUUUUGGAUGGUAUAAAACUGUAAUAAAUAAAUAAAAUUAGCUGGGCCGGG